GAUGAACGCUGGCGGCGUGCCUAACACAUGCAAGUCGAGCGAUUCUCUUCGGAGAAGAGCGGCGGACGGGUGAGUAACGCGUGGGUAACCUGCCCUGUACACACGGAUAACAUACCGAAAGGUAUGCUAAUACGAGAUACUAUGCUUUUAUCGCAUGGUAGAAGUGUCAAAGCUCCGGCGGUACAGGAUGGACCCGCGUCUGAUUAGCUAGUUGGUAAGGUAACGGCUUACCAAGGCGACGAUCAGUAGCCGACCUGAGAGGGUGAUCGGCCACAUUGGAACUGAGACACGGUCCAAACUCCUACGGGAGGCAGCAGUGGGGAAUAUUGCACAAUGGGCGAAAGCCUGAUGCAGCAACGCCGCGUGAGCGAUGAAGGCCUUCGGGUCGUAAAGCUCUGUCCUCAAGGAAGAUAAUGACGGUACUUGAGGAGGAAGCCCCGGCUAACUACGUGCCAGCCGCCGCGGUAACAC
rnacentral:rRNA from 1 species